AUGUUGGGAGAACGCGCUAUAGCUAAAGUAGCUACAACGCUUUUGCAGAAACGCGGUGCUUCUAUUGCUCUCAUUUUUUCUUUUUCUUUAAUUUUCCUUUUCUUUUUUCCUUUUCUUUUUUCCUUUCUUUUUUUCCUUUCUUUUCCUUUUGUUAGUUGCAGCACUGUCGCCCUAAAACGUGCUGCUACUAUUUUGUUAGCGGUAGCGCGGUCCUUAGAAGCGCGCUCCUACUAUACCAAGCCUGGCAGCAACCGUUCUGUUCGUCGUAGUAGCAACGCGUUUUGUGGUGCACGCGCUACUGCUAUCUUUGUAGUAGUAGAGUGCUGCCCUUACACGCGUUACUGCUAUGUAGCAGUAGCGCUUCGCUUUAACAAGCGCUACUGA
rnacentral:rRNA from 1 species